CUUUUUACAAUUUUUACUCUACCUCUCUCUCUAAGAAAGGAUGGAUAUUGGUUAGAAACUCCACAAGAUUUCGGUAAAAUGCCAUAAUCACCAUCAUCCUCGAUCAUCGUCAACCAUUCACCGGUGAAUGUCCAAUCACUGAUUGCUCUAAAACGUAUCGUGAGACUCCUCUUAGUUUCGUUUUCUCAAAUUUUGGUACAAUUUUUUUCAAAAAACUUGCUUGCUUUGCAUGAAUUUGCCCAAAAAGGUGGCGGAUCUGAACUUAGUUUCCUUGUUGCCCCGGUCACCACCACCUCUAAACUAUAUUCUUUCCCUUGUUUUUGGCUCUUUCCUCACCCGAUUUGAAAACCAAAAAUUGUCUGGAUAAAACGUAAACGAAACCCCAAAAAUUUGGUUCUUUGUCUCUGACCUUGCUUUGUUGUUUUCUUUGUCUUGUUAGUAUUCCUUGUCGGCGGUGAAUGACCUUUUGGCG
rnacentral:lncRNA from 1 species